rnacentral:rRNA from 1 species
CAGUCGCCGCGGGAAUACGAAGGGGGCUAGCGUUGCUCGGAAUGACUGGGCGUAAAGGGCGCGUAGGCGGUUUUCCAAGUUAGAUGUGAAAUUCCUGGGCUCAACCUGGGGGCUGCAUUUGAUACUGGGAGGCUUGAGUAUGGAAGAGGGUCGUGGAAUUCCCAGUGUAGAGGUGAAAUUCGUAGAUAUUGGGAAGAACACCGGUGGCGAAGGCGGCGACCUGGUCCAUAACUGACGCUGAGGCGCGAAAGCGUGAGGAGCGAACAGGAUUAGAUACCCGCGUAGUCCCUGUCUCUUAUAU